GACGAACGCUGGCGGCGUGCCUAAUACAUGCAAGUCGAACGCACAGUUUAUACCGUAGCUUGCUACACCAUAGACUGUGAGUUGCGAACGGGUGAGUAACGCGUAGGUAACCUGCCUGGUAGCGUGGGAUAACUAUUGGAAACGAUAGCUAAUACCGCAUAAUAUUAAUUAUUGCAUGAUAAUUAAUGGAAAGGUGCAAUUGCACCACUACCAGAUGGACCUGCGUUGUAUUAGCUAGUAGGUGAGGUAACGGCUCACCUAGGCGACGAUACAUAGCCGACCUGCGAGGGUGAUCGGCCACACUGGGACUGAGACACGGCCCAGAGUCCUACGGGAGGCAGCAGUAGGGAAACUUCGGCAAUGGAUGAAAGUCUGACCGAGCAACGCCGAGUGAGGGAAGAAGGUUUUCGGAUCGUAAAGCUCUGUUGUAAGAGAAGAACGGGUGUGAGAGUGGAAAGUUCACACUGUGACGGUAACUGACCAGAAAGGGACGGCUAACUACGUG
rnacentral:rRNA from 1 species